AAUGAAUCCGCGCUAUGUUGCAUCGCUUAUUUAUAAUGCCAUCCCCCACGGGGUGGUGGUCCGCUGGGGGUACGCUUCCGUGGGAAUCGGGAUGUUGCAGUUUGGGCUUCUUAGAAUCGUACGUGACAAAAUGUAAAUUCCAUAUUUCGACUUAGUUUUUUAUCAGUCCUGUGUUUCCGCUGAGCUAGCGUCUAGGAGAUUUGAGGCAUUCCACGCUGAUCUAGUCCGUUUCGCGAGAAACUUCCACGUGCUGUACCGUGGGAAUUACCGGUGUUUCUUCGGCGCGUGGAAGGGCUGGUGGCUGCAGCAUCAUUAUUAUUUUAAAGUUUGCUCGGGCAACACGCGCAACUCCGCUGCUCUCCCAUAACAAAGACCUCCUCCUUCGAAUUGUUUUGCGCUUCGGUGAUCGACGUUCGAACCAUGUUUGCUGAGUCGUUUCUAUCAGAGGUUCCUUUCCAGACUUCCCUGCCCAAGCGAAAGAGGGAUUCCGAAGAGCCCAUGGGCGACUCGGGGGAACCCAUCAAGCGCAUGCGGCCUUGUGAUGGACCACGAGUGUCGGGGAGUUUGGAGGAACUGUUUUACAUUGGUGCCGAGGCUGUGUCGAAAUUGGGUUUUGACGAUUUAGUUACUUUCGACGAGAAUUUCUUUGAUGCGGAGACCGUCAUAUUGGAGAGGGAACCCCCUCUGGUUGAAAUCGUCGAUACCGAGCGUUGCGUGAAAGUUCGUUUUGCGAAUGAAAUUCCCGAAGAGGUUUUGGAGGCGCAUCUUCGUCACCAUGCUUCUGGGAGAAAGGGAAUUUCCCCUGUUGUGCGCUAUUGGUGUAUGUGUGAGUUCAGCGAACUUUAUCCCGGAGCUCCUUGCUUCGAUUUUGAUUUAUUGUAGCUGCCUCAAUUUUGUUGGUUCGCUGUUUUGAUGUUCCUUAUUAUUAUUAAUUUUGUGUUCAAUAUGUGUAUAUAUAUAUAUAUAUAUAUAUAUAUUUUUUAGUCUGAUAGUGUUAGGUUAUCUAUUUUACAUUUGUUAAUUUUUUUAAUUUUAUAUUUCCCCCCUUUUAUUUAAAUAUAUAUAUAUAUUUUUACAUUUGUAGUUGCCCAUAAAAUUUAUUAAAGAAAAGUGUUAACAAUGUG